rnacentral:rRNA from 1 species
AAUAGAUACCCGGGUAGUCCAUGCCGUAAACGUUGGGCGCUAGAUGUGGGGACCAUUCCACGGUUUCCGUGUCGCAGCUAACGCAUUAAGCGCCCCGCCUGGGGAGUACGGCCGCAAGGCUAAAACUCAAAGGAAUUGACGGGGGCCCGCACAAGCGGCGGAGCAUGCGGAUUAAUUCGAUGCAACGCGAAGAACCUUACCAAGGCUUGACAGUAUACGGAGAACGCUCUAGAAAUAGAGAACUCUUUGGACACUCGUAUACAGGUGGUGCAUGGUUGUCGUCAGCUCGUGUCGUGAGAUGUUGGGUUAAGUCCCGCAACGAGCGCAACCCUCGUUCUAUGUUGCCAGCGGUUCGGCCGGGAACUCAUAGGAGACUGCCGGGGUCAACUCGGAGGAAGGUGGGGAUGACGUCAAAUCAUCAUGCCCCUUAUGUCUUGGGCUUCACGCAUGCUACAAUGGCCGGUACAAAGGGCUGCAAUACCGUAAGUGGAGCGAAUCCCAAAAGCCGGUCUCAGUUCGGAUUGAGGU